CCUACGGGUGGCAGCAGUAGGGAAUAUUGCUCAAUGGGGGAAACCCUGAAGCAGCAACGUCGCGUGAAGGAUGAAGGCUUUCGGAUUGUAAACCUCUUUUGUUAGAGAAGAAAAUGACGGUAUCUAACGAAUAAGCACCGUCUAACUUCGUGCCAGCGGCCGCGGUAAUACGGCGGGAGCAAGCGUUACUCGGAUUCACUGGGCGUAAAGGGAGCGUAGGCGGGGUAGCAAGUCAGAUGUGAAAUCCUAGGGCUUAACCAUAGGACUGCAGUUGAAACUGUUAUUCUAGAGUUUAGGAGAGGUAGGCGGAAUUCUUGGUGUAGCGGUAAAAUGCGUAGAUAUCAAGAGGAAUACUCAUUGCGAAGGCGGCCUGCUAGAACAUCACUGACGCUGAUGCGCGAAAGCGUGGGGAGCAAACAGGAUUAGAUACCCGUGUAGUC
rnacentral:rRNA from 1 species